rnacentral:rRNA from 1 species
GAUGAACGCUGGCGGCGUGCCUAAUACAUGCAAGUCGAGCGAACAGAUGAGGAGCUUGCUCCUCUGACGUUAGCGGCGGACGGGUGAGUAACACGUGGAUAACCUACCUAUAAGACUGGGAUAACUUCGGGAAACCGGAGCUAAUACCGGAUAAUAUAUUGAACCGCAUGGUUCAAUAGUGAAAGACGGUUUUGCUGUCACUUAUAGAUGGAUCCGCGCCGCAUUAGCUAGUUGGUAAGGUAACGGCUUACCAAGGCAACGAUGCGUAGCCGACCUGAGAGGUUGAUCGGCCACACUGGAACUGAGACACGGUCCAGACUCCUAGGGAGGGAAGCGGAAGGGAAUCUUCCGCAAUGGGCGAAAGCCUGACGGAGAAAGGCGGGGGAGGUAAGAAGGGCCUUCGAUUGGUAAACCCUGGUUAUUAGGAAAAAAAAAAUGUGUAAGUAACUAUGCACGUCUUGACGGUACCUAUCAGAAAGCCACGGCUAACUACGUG